ensembl:lncRNA LINC02391 long intergenic non-protein coding RNA 2391
GUCUGCUGUGGGCCCAGCAGCUGCACAGACCCCUCUUGUUGGGAGACAAGACAGGGCUCUUUCUCUCCCGUGACCUCAGCCUCAUCUCCAAUCGUGGGGAAGAGAGAAACUGAAAUUCUUCCUGUGACUGAACACAUGAGAAUGCAACAGUUACUUGGGGUAACAGGUUUCCUGUGGGUCCUGUGUGAAGAGUAUGCAUUCAUUCCAGUGUCGGGGAGGGGAGAAGAAUGAGGAGGAGGCAGUCCCAUGUGGAUGUCAGUGUGAUGAUUAGGAUGCCUGAUGCUUCCGAAACAAGAAUACACUUUACGAAAAUGCCCAUUGAAAAUACUUUUUCCUUUCUACUCUUGUGCUAAGAGUGCCUGUUUGGACCCCAUGGCUUCGUAAUGCAAUGGCUUUUACCCUUGUCCCACGGCCCCCCUGCCCAACUCAAGAAGGUGAUGAAAUAGGCUGCAGAAGUUCCCAGCCAGGGUAUUGUGAAGAUGAAAGCAAAGAUAUGGCAAGAGCUCAGAAGAGUACCUGGCCCAUAUUAAGUGACCAUGCUCAAGAGCUUCAGAAUCUUUACAACGUGAAAGAAGAUGGAGUAUUGCCAUUACCAUGUAUAAGAACAGACGCUCCACUCUGGUUGGGGAUCUCUCUGCUCUAAGAUGCAGGGGUUGAAAUGGACUCCCUGGCUAUGGAUGAGUGAGUGUGCAUUUAAUUGACAUGGGAGAGUUUGGUUAUUAUUUAAAGCAGCUGAUCCCAAAUACUGGCCCCCACACUAGUUUGGCUCUGUGAUCAGAUUCUCACCCAUCUACCGUGAAAGAGGAGAGAUAAGAUUAAAACAGUGAAGUUUUAAUAAAUCUGAAUUGUUUUAUUCUAA